CUGACUGUAUGUACAGUAUAUUGCAUGCCGACCAGCUCGGAUUGAAUAGCUAGGGUUAGGGCAGUCUCAACCCCAUCACAUGACGUCAUUGCAUGGUGGUAUAGGGACGAAUCACCCAAUCCAUUGAUACCUUAGCUAUUUUCCCUCCUUGAUCAAGAAACCCCGUUCAGCUGUAACCCGCUCGAUUAACCCUUACGCAGUAGCAAUGAUGAAGAAUGACAGCGCGAUCUUGCUACGGGAUUCUCCUGGAUGCAACCCAAAUAUAAAUAUACCUCUCCCGCUCUCGCUCCCCGUGCACCGUCUGCUCGUUCAUCGCACGUUCUGGCACUAUACAAAACUCGACCAGCCUUUGCGCCCCAGUGCAUCAGCCUUGUCCUGGCUCGAGAGCUAUCCUCAUC
rnacentral:sRNA from 1 species